ensembl:lncRNA
GAGCUUCCACCCUUGAAGCUAUCUCCGCCGCCCUCGAAGCUGCCUUUGUAGCAUUGGAAAGAUUUUCUGUCACACCCAAAGAAGCCUCUGGCGCUGCCUUGCUCGAUGCAGCUUCUGCUGCCAUCGAUGCAGCCUCUGCCACCCUCGAAGCAGCCUCUGAUGCUGCCGCCUCCGAGGUCGUCUCUGCUGCCCCAGAUGUAGCCUCCGUCGCUACCACUCCCAAAGCAGCCUCUGCCUCUCCCGAAGCAGCUUCUGAUGCUGCCACCACCGAAGCAGCCUCUGACGCUGCCGCUCCCGACGUAGCCUCUGUCGCUACCACCCCAGAAGCUACCUCUGAUGCCCCCGAUGUAGCCUCUGUCGUUACCACCCCCGAAGCAGCCUCUGACGCUGCCGCCCCAGAAGCAGCCUCUGACGCUGCCGCCUCCGACGUAGCCGCUGUCGCUACCACCCCAGAAGCAGCCUCUGACGCUGCCGCCCCCGACGUAGCCUCUGUCGCUACCACCCCAGAAGCAGCCUCUGACGCUGUCGGCCCCGACGUAGUCUCUGUUGCUAGCAACCCCGAAGCAGCCUCUGUCGCUGCUGUCCCUGAAGCAGCCUCUGAUGCCACUGACGUAGCCUCCGUCGCUACCGCUCCCGAAGCACCCACUGCUGCCCCCGACGUAGCCUCUGUUGCUAGCAACCCCGAAGCAGCCUCUGUCGCUGCUGUCCCUGAAGCAGUCUCUGAAGAAAUUGCUGAUGGUGACGCCACUGAGGCCUACGCCACAGCAGAACCAGCCGCCGCAGAUCAAGCCGCCGCUCUCCCUGCAGACCGAGCCGUCGCUCACCCUGCAGACCCGGCCGUCGCUGACCCUGCAGACCCGGCCGUCGCUGACCCUGCAGAACCAGCCGCCGCAGAUCAAGCCGCCGCUCUCCCUGCAGACCGAGCCGUCGCUCACCCUGCAGACCUGGCCGUCGCUGACCCUGCAGACCCGGCCGUCGCUGACCCUGCAGACCCAGCCGUCGCCGACCCGCACCCCGCAGCUGACCCGGACCCUGCUGCCACAGCUGCCAACCAAGAUCCUCCAGCAUCCGUUUCCGAUGCAGGCCCAGCAGCACCCUCUGCCGAGACCGGUCCAGCAGCACCUUCUGAUGGCGUCGCUGCUGAGGGCUCUGCUGUUCCAAGCGCCCCUGGCCGGAGUGCCCCUGUCCCGAGCGCCCCGGUCCCGAGCGCCCCUGUCCCAGGCGCCCCUGUCCCGAGCGUCCCAGGCGCCCCUGUCCCGAGCGUCCCAGGCGCCCCUGUCCCCAGCGUUCCAGGCGCCCCUGUCCCGAGCGUCCCAGGCUCCCCUGUCCCGAGCGUCCCAGGCUCCCCUGUCCCGAGCGUCCCAGGCUCCCCUGUCCCGAGCGUCCCAGGCGCCCCUGUCCCGAGCGUCCCAGGCGCCCCUGUCCCGAGCGUCCCAGGCUCCCCUGUCCCGAGCGUCCCAGGCUCCCCUGUCCCGAGCGUCCCAGGCUCCCCUGUCCCGAGCGUCCCAGGCGCCCCUGUCCCGAGCGUCUCAGGCGCCCCGGUCCCGAGCGUCCCAGGCUCCCCUGUCCCGAGCAUCUCCGGCGUUCCUGUCCAAGGUGUCCUUGCGCCGGUUCCAGGCGUCCAUGCGCCGGCCCCAGGCGCUCCGGACCCUGUCUCCAGUGUUCCUGGGUUCCCUGUCCCAGCUGCAGCAGACCCAGGGUUCGGUGCCGCCAGCCCUAAUGAUCCAGCGAGUCCAGGUGCCACGUCUACCC